rnacentral:RNase_P_RNA from 1 species
CAAUUGAUGGGAUAAUCGCUGCAAUGAUGUUGAAAAACAGAGGGCAGAGGAAAGUCCGAACACUCGAAUUCUUGGCUUUCCAAGAACGACAAACACAGUUGCUAACGGCAACCCGCACAAUUAUCGGAUGGUGCGCCAUGAAGAACAUAUGUCUGCAUGGCGUGCUGUGAUGAUGAAAACGCGAGGGAAAGUGUCACAGAGACAAUACUAUCCGUUGCAAAACGGAGAAAGGUGAAAAGUCACGCAGUGUGGAAGCUAUGCGUGAGUGCUCCAUGUGAAUGGAAGCAGUGGUAAACCCUGUGUAGUGCAACCUGAGUAUGGGCUUGAGCAUGGCGGCAACGUCAUGUCACAGAGAGAUGAUUAUCAUAGCGCUGCUGAGAUGUGGCGCUAACAGAAUUCGGCUUACACAUCAUGUUGGUAU